rnacentral:rRNA from 1 species
CCCUUAGAUGUUCUGGGCAGCACGCGCGCUACAAUGGUCUUCGCAAACGGAUGCAUUCUCGAAGGAGAAUGCCAAUCUUGGAAUCUAUGCCUUGGUCGGGACAGUUGCUUGCAAUUUUUCGACUCGAACCAGGAAUUCCUUGUAAUCGUGAUUCAUCACAUCACGAUGAAUACGUCCCUGCCCUUUGUACACACCGCCCGUCGCUCCCGGAACUGAGCCGUUUCGAGAAGACUGAGGAUUGCUGACUUGAGGCCUUCACGGGCUUCUAGUCGGUGAAAAUCAAUUUAAUCGCAGCGGCUUGAACCGGGCAAAAGUCGUAACA